AAAAACAAUGGUAAUAACACCUCCCUACUGAAGAGGAAAGCUUUGAGCCAUCCAUUAAAACAAAGUCACACAGCCAAGCCGUGAGAGUGUCCCAUUUCCUGGAAACAGUCAAUAAAAUCAAUUUGCAGUGCUACAGUGUUCUCCGUGGCUGAGGGACGGCAAGCUUGCUGUCAGUUAAGGAGCCUCAGGUUAUUACAGACUAUUGAGCAGAGUUUCCUGUGCCCUAUGGUGUUGUGCCAUCUGCUGUGAAAUUCUUGGCUCCCUUGGAUUUAUCAGGCUAGAAGGAGGGGGAUGCAUAAGUGAGUAUGAAUUGGCUUUUCCGGAGAUGGCCUGGGACAUGGGAUAUUUAACCCACUUGUGUUUUCAUCCACACCUGAUCAAGCCCACUAAGGCAGAAUGGACUUUAAG
ensembl:lncRNA